CCUUAAGAGCAGGGAUUGUGUCUUUUACAGGUAUAUUCCGGGUUGCGGCCACUCAGCAGUGCGUGCAACCCAUGGGUACGUCCCGCACCACUGGCUGACUUAUUAAGGCAGACAUAAGCCCGCUCCCCACAUUACAUCCUAUCAGAGCAGGUUACGUAGAACCCUUUGUGUGCCAGCUUGAGCCACUCAGAAGAAAGGUUGUAUGUCAAUGAAUACUAUGGAUUAAGUGAUUGAUUAUGGAUCAAUGCUAAUGUACUUGAUUUGAUUGUGUGUAGGUGAGUAAUGUUCAUUUCUUGGCUUUCUCUCUAGCCUUUCUUAAAGGAGCUCAAACCACUUUUCAGAUAUGAUCUCUUUUUUUCUAGCUCUCCUUUCUCCCGCUAGACUA